GUCCCAGCUGUAAAACGAUGGUAACUAGAUGUGGGAGGUAUCGACCCCUUCCGUGUCGUCGCUAACGCUUUAAGUUACCCGCCUGGGGAGUACGGCCGCAAGGUUAAAACUCAAAGGAAUUGACGGGGGCCCGCACAAGCGGUGGAGCAUGUGGUUUAAUUCGACGCUACGCGAAGAACCUUACCUGGGCUCGAACGACUAGUAGUAGUCCUUUUGAAAGAGAGGGCGACCCGCAAGGGAGCUAGCCGAGGUGCUGCAUGGCUGUCGU
rnacentral:rRNA from 1 species